rnacentral:rRNA from 1 species
GACGAACGCUGGCGGCGUGCCUAAUACAUGCAAGUCGAGCGGACCAAAUCGGAGCUUGCUCUGAUUUGGUCAGCGGCGGACGGGUGAGUAACACGUGGGCAACCUGCCCGCAAGACCGGGAUAACUCCGGGAAACCGGAGCUAAUACCGGAUAACACCGAAGACCGCAUGGUCUUUGGUUGAAAGGCGGCCUUUGGCUGUCACUUGCGGAUGGGCCCGCGGCGCAUUAGCUAGUUGGUGAGGUAACGGCUCACCAAGGCGACGAUGCGUAGCCGGCCUGAGAGGGUGACCGGCCACACUGGGACUGAGACACGGCCCAGACUCCUACGGGAGGCAGCAGUAGGGAAUCUUCCGCAAUGGGCGAAAGCCUGACGGAGCGACGCCGCGUGAGCGAAGAAGGCCUUCGGGUCGUAAAGCUCUGUUGUGAGGGACGAAGGAGCGCCGUUCGAAGAGGGCGGCGCGGUGACGGUACCUCACGAGGAAGCCCCGGCUAACUACGUGCCAGCAGCCGCGGUAAUACGUAGGGGGCGAGCGUUGUCCGGAAUUAUUGCGCGUAAAGCGCGCGCAGGCGGUUCCUUAAGUCUGAUGUGAAAGCCCACGGCUCAACCGUGGAGGGUCAUUGGAAACUGGGGGACUUGAGUGCAGGAGAGGAGAGCGGAAUUCCACGUGUAGCGGUGAAAUGCGUAGAGAUGUGGAGGAACACCCAGUGGCGAAGGCGGCUCUCUGGCCUGCCACUGACGCUGAGGCGCGAAAGUGUGGGGGAGCAACUAGGAUUAGAUACCCUGGUAGUACACUCCGUAAACGAUGAGUGUUAAGUGUUAGAGGGGUCUCUCCCUUUAGUGCUGCAGUUAACGCGAUAAGCUCUCCGCUUGGGGAGUACGGGCCGCAAGGCUGAAACUCAAAGGAAUUGACGGGGGCCCGCACAAGCGGUGGAGCAUGUGGUUUAAUUCGAAGCAACGCGAAGAACCUUACCAGGUCUUGACAUCCCCUGACAACCCAAGAGAUUGGGCGUUCCCCCUUCGGGGGGACAGGGUGACAGGUGGUGCAUGGUUGUCGUCAGCUCGUGUCGUGAGAUGUUAGGUUAAGUCCCGCAACGAGCGCAACCCUCGCCUCUAGUUGCCAGCACGAAGGUGGGCGCUCUAGAGGGACUGCCGGCGACAAGUCGGAGGAAGGUGGGGAUGACGUCAAAUCAUCAUGCCCCUUAUGACCUGGGCUACACACGUGCUACAAUGGGCGGUACAAAGGGCUGCGAACCCGCGAGGGGGAGCGAAUCCCAAAAAGCCGCUCUCAGUUCGGAUUGCAGGCUGCAACUCGCUUGCAUGAAGCCGGAAUCGCUAGUAAUCGCGGAUCAGCAUGCCGCGGUGAAUACGUUCCCGGGCUUUGUACACUCCGCCCGUCACUCCUCGAGAGCUUGCAACUCCUGAAGUCGGUGAGGUAACCUUUACGGGAGCCAGCCUCCGAAGGUGGGGCAAGUGAUUGGGG